AAGGCGUGGCGGUGGCCGCGGGACUAUGGGGGUGGCAGGAGGUGAUAGGAAGUACAGGGCGUAGAGGGCACGCAGGCGGGUGGAGAAGUGAGAUGUGAACGCCCCGGGCGCAAACGGGGAAGUGAAUUUAGAACUGUCCAGCUAGAGUCUUGGAGGGGGGGGUAGAAUUCCAGGUGUAGCGGUGAAAUGCGUAGAGAUCUGGAGGAAUACCGGUGGCCAAGGCGGCCCCCUGGACAAAGACUGACGCUCAGGUGCGAAAGCGUGGGGAGCAAACAGGAUUAGAUACCCGAGUAGUC
rnacentral:rRNA from 1 species